AGCUUGAGAGUAAUACAUAGGUUCAGAUUCCAAAGUGGAAGAAGAGGAACCAGAAAAGGCAGUCAGUUGACAGACAUAAUCCUUAAGAUAGAAAGGAGGAUUAUGCUGUCUAGUGGACUUCCUAGGUGUGGGAAGAGGAUGGGAAGGAUGUAACACAGGAGUAGGGAGAUCAGGAUUGAAAGAAGGAAGGGAAGAUGGACCAGCAUCAGGAAAAGCAGGUGCAGG
rnacentral:lncRNA from 1 species